CGUCGGCGUCCGGUUAAGUUUUGCGUUUAGGUCCACUUUUCUCAGAAAGUAUCAAUGCUAUUGCAUUCAAACUUGGUACACUUACUUACUAUCAUGAGGGGACUGGGCAGGCAAAGUUAGAUAACUCUGGCGUGCAUUUUGACAGAAUUAUGUGCCCUUUUUAUACUUAGAAAAUUGAAAAUUUUGGUUAAGUUUUGUGUUUAGGUCCAUUUUAUUCCUUAAGUAUCAAAGCUAUUGCUUUCAUACUUGCAACACUUACUAACUAUCAUAAGGGGACUGUGCAGGCAAAGUAAUGUAACUCUGACUGGCAUUUUGACAGAAUUAUGUGCCCUUUUUAUACUUAGAAAAUUGAAAAUUUGGUUAAGUUUUGUGUUUAGGUCCACUUUAUUCAUACAGUAUCAAAGCUAUUGCUUUCAUACUUGCAACACUUAUUAACUAUCAUAAGGGGACUGUGCAGGCAAAGUUAUGUAACUCUGACUGGCAUUUGGACGGAAUUAUGGGCCCUUUAUACUUAGAAAAUUGAAAAUUUUGUUAAGUUUUGUGUUUUGGUCCACUUUACCCCUAAACUAUCAUAGAUAUUGCUUUCAUACUUGGAACACUCGCAAACUAUCAUAAGGGUACAGUAAAAGGACAAGUUGCAUAACUCUGGUUGUCAUUUUUACGGAAUUAUGGCCCUUUUUUGACUUAGUAACUUUGAAUAUAUGGUUAAAUUUUGUGUUUCGAUCCACUUUACUUCUAAAGUAUCAAGGCUAUUGCUUUCAAACUUCAAAUACUUUCAUGCUAUCAUGAGGUUACUGUACCUGGCAAGUUGAAUUUUACCUUGACCUUUGAAUGACCUUGACUCUCAAGGUCAAAUUAUUAAAUUUUGCUAAAAUUGCCAUAACUUCUUUAUUUAUGAUUAGAUUUGAUUGAUACUUUGACAAAACUACUCUUACCUGACC